rnacentral:lncRNA from 1 species
GUGGUGUGUGCCUGUAAUCCCAGCUACUCCAGAGGCUGAGGUAGGAGAAUUGCUUGAACCCGGGAGGUGGAAGUUGCACUGAACCGAGAUUGUGCCAUUGCACUCCAUCCUGGUGACAGAGCGAGACUGCAUCUCAAAAAAAAAAAAAAAAAAAAGAAACCCAAAAAGCAAAAACCAAAAAACCAUCAGCUCCCACAAGACUUAUUCACUGUCACGAGAACAGCACAGGAAAGACCCACCUCCGUGAUUCAAUUACCUCCCACCAGGUUCCUCCCACAACACAUGAGAAUUGUGGGAACACAGUCAAACCAUAUCACCAACUAAACACUAACAUCUAUUAAUGUCUUCAAUAG